AGAGUUUGAUCCUGGCUCAGGACGAACGCUGGCGGCAUGCCUAAUACAUGCAAGUCGAGCGAACUGACGGAGGAACUUGUUCCUCUUGACGUGAGCGGCGGACGGGUGAGUAACACGUGGGAAACCUACCUUUCAGCGGGGGAUAACGUUCGGAAACGGACGCUAAUACCGCAUAACGUUAACAAUCGCAUGAUUGUUAAAUAAAAGACGGCUCUGCUGUCACUGAAAGAUGGACCCGCGGUGCAUUAGUUAGUUGGUAAGGUAACGGCUUACCAAGACGAUGAUGCGUAGCCGGCCUGAGAGGGUGACCGGCCACACUGGGACUGAGACACGGCCCAGACUCCUACGGGAGGCAGCAGUAGGGAAUUUUCGGCAAUGGGGGCAACCCUGACCGAGCGACGCCGCGUGAGUGAAGAAGGCCUUCGGGUUGUAAAGCUCUGUUGUAAGGGAAGAACCGUAGUGAUAGGGAAUGAUCACUACCUGACGGUACCUUACCAGAAAGCCACGGCUAACUACGUGCCAGCAGCCGCGGUAAUACGUAGGUGGCAAGCGUUAUCCGGAAUUAUUGGGCGUAAAGGGAGCGCAGGCGGUUUAUUAAGUCUGAGGUUAAAACACGGAGCUCAACUUCGUGAUGCCUUAGAAACUGGUAGACUAGAGUGCAGGAGAGGUGAGUGGAAUUCCAUGAGUAGCGGUAAAAUGCGUAGAUAUAUGGAGGAGCACCAGUGGCGAAGGCGGCUCACUGGCCUGUAACUGACGCUGAGGCUCGAAAGCGUGGGGAGCAAAAAGGAUUAGAUACCCUAGUAGUCCACGCCGUA
rnacentral:rRNA from 1 species